rnacentral:rRNA from 1 species
UACGUAGGGUGCAAGCGUUGUCUGGAAUUAUUGGGCGUAAAGAGCUCGUAGGCGGUGUGUCGCGUCGGCCGUGAAAACCUGCAGCUUAACUGUGGGCUUGCGGUCGAUACGGGCAUCACUGGAGUUCGGCAGGGGAGACUGGAAUUCCUGGUGUAGCGGUGAAAUGCGCAGAUAUCAGGAGGAACACCGGUGGCGAAGGCGGGUCUCUGGGCCGAUACUGACGCUGAGGAGCGAAAGCGUGGGGAGCGAACAGG